UACGUAGGGCGCAAGCGUUGUCCGGAAUUAUUGGGCGUAAAGAGCUCGUAGGCGGCUUGUCACGUCGGGUGUGAAAGCCCGGGGCUUAACCCCUGGGUCUGCAUUCGAUACGGGCAGGCUAGAGUGUGGUAGGGGAGAUCGGAAUUCCUGGUGUAGCGGUGAAAUGCGCAGAUAUCAGGAGGAACACCGGUGGCGAAGGCGGUUCUCUGGGCAUUACCUGACGCUGAGGAGCGAAAGUGUGGGGAGCGAACAGG
rnacentral:rRNA from 1 species